rnacentral:tRNA from 3 species
GCAGGAGUGGCGGAAUGGCAGACGCGCAGGCUUCAGGUGCCUGUUAUGGCAACAUAGUGUGGGUUCAAGUCCCAUCUCCUGCA